rnacentral:rRNA from 1 species
AGCGAACGCUGGCGGCAGGCCUAACACAUGCAAGUCGAACGAACCCUUCGGGGUUAGUGGCGGACGGGUGAGUAACACGUGGGAACGUGCCUUUAGGUUCGGAAUAACUCAGGGAAACUUGUGCUAAUACCGAAUGUGCCCGUCGGCGGAAAGAUUUAUCGCCUUUAGAGCGGCCCGCGUCUGAUUAGCUAGUUGGUGAGGUAAUGGCUCACCAAGGCUACGAUCAGUAGCUGGUCUGAGAGGAUGACCAGCCACAUUGGGACUGAGACACGGCCCAAACUGCUACGCGAGGCCGCAGUGGGGAAUCUUGCGCAAUGGGCGAAAGCCUGACGCAGCCAUGCCGCGUGAAUGAUGAAGGUCUUAGGAUUGUAAAAUUCUUUCACCGGGGACGAUAAUGACGGUACCCGGAGAAGAAGCCCCGGCUAACUUCGUGCCAGCAGCCGCCGUAACAC